rnacentral:tRNA from 1 species
UGGGAUAUAGCCAAGUGGAAAGGCUGCGGAUUUUGAUUCCGUUAUUCAAAGGUUCGAAUCCUUUUAUCCCAU